CUUUUAUUAUGGAAUCGUAUGUAACUAUAAGUUUCGGUGACAUGUCUUAGACUAUGCCAUGUAUUAAUCUCGUAGAAACGAGUUUUUCUAUUUUACAAUGACCAGAGUAACGUAAUGGUUUGGUAACUAUGAUUCGUUGAAAUCUGGAAGAAGAAACGAGUCAAAAAGAACAUGUUGGACGAUUCUUAUUAUGGAAUCUGACCAGAGUAACUAAAUGGUCUCAACUAUGAUUCGUUGAAAUUUGAAAGAAGAAACGAUUGAAGAAAAACAUGUCGGACUACUCUUAUUAUGGAAUCGAGUGACUGUAGGCGUCAGUGAUGUGGGUUAAACUGUACAUAGGAUGAAUGUUUUAGAGAUGAGUUUCCAAUAGCGACUACCGUAACGUAAUAACUUGCACUGUAAUGUAUCGAGGUCUGAAAGACGAAGUUAUCAAAAAUGAAUAUUUUAACUACCUUUAACCAUCGAUAAUCGAACGUGAAAAUAAAUUCAACGUUAUUUGUAACUGAGAAAUCUUUAUCCACUUUUUGUGCCGCUUAUCAGAUGAUUUUUUAAAUUUAAUUAUUUAUUUAUUUCUGUUCCGUUUACUACUCUACAAGGGACUUUAGGGAAAUUUCUAUGCAUACUGUAUAACGAUAAGCAAGUUCUCGUUAACAUUUUUAACAUGAACACGAACAUUUAUCGCGUUCUUAUACUUGACGUAACUGUUUCGCCUCCAAGGACGUGUAAAAUAUGGAGGAAAGUUGUCAAAGAGAAAGAAAAUAAAGCAGAAUAGAGUAAAAGCUAAGUGUAUGUGCACUAUGGUGUAGUAUUAUCGUAACGAAGAAUCCUCAGAAAGUUAGGGAAAAUCGUGAAAGCAGGAAAGUGGACGAAGCGGACGAAAAAACGUAAAAAUACUGCGAAAUGGGCGAAGAAGAAAUCUUCUUGGGACAGAAAUUGGGAAUCCCUCGGAAAGGGAUUUACCAAAAAAACACCAUCUUUGUAUAAAAACACCGAUCUUGGACGAGAGCAAUUGGAUUUCAGAACCGAAGCUACGGAAAUCAAAUCUGUUGGCUCGUCCAGUAUUCCCAAAUUCUCUUGUAGAAUAUUAAACGGAACAGAAAUAAAUAAAUAAUUAAAUUUAAAAACUCACCUGACAAGAAGCGGCACAAAGGCGCUAAAGAAAAAGUAGAUGAAAAUUUGCCAGUUGCAAAUGACGUUGAAUUUAUUUUCACGUUCGAUUAUCGAUCGUUAAAGCUAGUUAAAAAAUGUUAAUUCAUUCGUCGAUCUGUUUGUUGGGCUAGAUCCAUUGGAUAUGGAAAACAGAUUACUUUGAGAGUGUAAAGAACGACGGUAAUUAUUUUCUAUGCUGAAAAGAAAAAGAGUAAUCUACUUUCUAAUUAAUUUAUACAAAUCCUUCUUUUAAUUCCUUCUGAAUGUUCCCACAAAAUUGUCGAAUCGUAAUAAAAAUUCUUCCAACUCUCUUGAAAUUCUAAAUCGCAAGAAAUUUAUUGCAAGAAGUUCGUUGUUAAACGGGAAUUUAAGUUUCGAAGAACGUGGUAUAAACGUUAAAAUAUUUCACGCUCGAAUUAUACAGUUGAAAGUCGAUGACUUUUUGCUGGCGAAUAAAUCGAGAAAAAGAUUGGAAAUUAUAGACGGACUCUCGAUUACUGCCGAAACUAAUCGACGGUGAAGAAUAAGGAAGAUAAUAUUUCAAGCCGGACACUAAACCAACCUUCUACGUUUGCUCGUCGCUUUCUGUAAAUGGGAAAAGUAAAGAAGAUAAAUAAACGAGCUUCCUACGAGGAAACGUGACGAGCAGACGCCAAGAUAAACGUAGAUGAUCGCUCGAUAGCUGGCGAGGAACGAGCAGGAUGUAUAAGAACAUUUCUUGAAAAAAGGUUUCAUCCAACAAUCGAUAACUCGAUAUGUGUAGAUAUAUUUGAAGAAAUACUUAAUAACACGAAAUAAUUUAUACUUUGUUUCAACUUGAGCCUCAUCUGCUCAUAAAUUAGAAUAAUCAAUCGCAAGAAUAAAUCUUCAUAAAUCAGAAUAUAAUAUUUCUUAACAGUCA